CAGGUGCUGCAUGGCUGUCGUCAGCUCGUGUCGUGAGAUGUUGGGUUAAGUCCCGCAACGAGCGCAACCCUCGUCAUUAGUUGCUAACAGUUCGGCUGAGAACUCUAAUGAGACUGCCUACGCAAGUAGGAGGAAGGUGAGGACGACGUCAAGUCAUCAUGGCCCUUACGUCCAGGGCUACACACGUGCUACAAUGGGGUAUACAAAGAGCAGCAAUACGGUGACGUGGAGCAAAUCUCAAAAAUAUCUCCCAGUUCGGAUUGUAGUCUGCAACUCGACUACAUGAAGUUGGAAUCGCUAGUAAUCGUAGAUCAGCUAUGCUACGGUGAAUACGUUCCCGGGUCUUGUACUCACCGCCCGUCACACCAUGGGAGUUGAACUCAUUCGAAGCGGGGAUGCUAAAGUAGCUACCUUCCACAGUGGAUUCAGCGACUGGGGUGAAGUCGUAACAAGGUAACCGUAGGAGAACCUGCGGUUGGAUCACCUCCUUU
rnacentral:rRNA from 1 species